rnacentral:ncRNA from 1 species
CGUUGAAAGGAUUAACAGAUUGAUAGCCCUUUCUCAAUUCCAUGGACCUUCUUAGUUGAUGGAGCAAUCUACCUGGUUAAUUCCCAUAACAAUUGAGACUAGCCUGUUAACUACUUAUGCAACCCCCACAAGCAGACUGCAUCCUCUAACUUCUUACAGGGACAAGUGGCAUCCAGCCAUCUGAGACUGAGCAAUAAAAUGUCUGUGAUGCCCUUA